rnacentral:rRNA from 1 species
UACGUAGGGUGCAAGCGUUAAUCGGAAUACUGGGCGUAAAGCGUGCGCAGGCGGUGAUGUAAGACAGGUGUGAAAUCCCCGGGCUUAACCUGGGAACUGCAUUUGUGACUGCAUCGCUGGAGUGCGGCAGAGGGGGAUGGAAUUCCGCGUGUAGCAGUGAAAUGCGUAGAUAUGCGGAGGAACACCGAUGGCGAAGGCAAUCCCCUGGCCUGCACUGACGCUCAUGCACGAAGCGU